AAUUUAAAUAAAUAAACUUAACAAUUUUUAACAGAAUAAAAAAUAAAAGACAUGAAUAGUGAUAAUUGUGCAGAAUACAAAUUAUUUGCAUAUGUAUAUUGAUUUUUGUUAAAAAUCACAUGACUUUAAAUGUAAUCAAAUUUAAUUUCUUCUGAAGAAGGUUAUGGUUUCAUGAACUGAGAAGUUAACCUUAGAAUAUACUUUAUACUUAUUUUUAAUUGCUUGCUUUUAUAUAUUUUGCAAAUUCCAAAUUAUCUUUAAAUUGCCUUUGUAUAAUGAUGUACUUAUAUACAUAAAACACCAACUUAUAGGCUAACAGCCAAAGCAUGAAAUAUGUAUGCAAGUUUCCCCUUAAGAAUAUGAACUAUGUAAUAAUAAGUUUACUUGUAGGAUCAGAAAAUUUUAGAUCUAGAAGGGCCCAAAUAGAACAACUUUUUCAACACUUUCAUUUUAAAGAUGAAGAAAUGUGGUGUUGAAAGAUAAAAUCAGCCAAAUGAAGAUGAGGCCAUAUUGGAAUGCAGGGCUCUUAAUCUAAUCUGACUACAGUUGUUAUAAGUAGACAGCCAUGCGAAGACACAGAGACACAGGGAGAACAUCACAGAACGUCAAAAGGCAGAGAAUGGAGUUACACAGCUGCAAACCAAGAAAUGCCAACCACUGCCAUCAAGCUUCCAAAAGCUAGGAAGAAAGAAGGAAAAUUUCAUAGGGCAAGUAGCCACUACCAACACCUUGAUUUUGGACUUCUAUCCUCCAGAACUGCAAGAGAAUAAAUUCCUGUUGAUUUAAGCCAUUUCACUUGUGAUACUGUGCUACAGCAGCCCUAGGAAAGAAUAAUCUAUCAAAAAUGU